UAAUACGAAGGACCCAAGCGUUAUCCGGAUUUAUUGGGUUUAAAGGGUGCGUAGGCGGGUUGUUAAGUCAGUGGUGAAAGCUCCUAGCUCAACUGGGAAAUUGCCAUUGAUACUGAUGAUCUUGAGUGUGGUUGAAGUGGGCGGAAUGUGUCAUGUAGCGGUGAAAUGCUUAGAUAUGACACAGAACACCGAUUGCGAAGGCAGCUCACUAAGCCACAACUGACGCUGAUGCACGAAAGCGUGGGGAGCAAACAGGAUUAGAUACCCUGGUAGUCCACGCCCUAAACGAUGAUCACUCGAUGUGUGCGAUAUACAGUACGCGUCUGAGCGAAAGCAUUAAGUGAUCCACCUGGGGAGUACGACCGCAAGGUU
rnacentral:rRNA from 1 species